GAUGAACGCUGGCGGCGUGCCUAAUACAUGCAAGUCGAGCGAACGGACGAGAAGCUUGCUUCUCUGACGUUAGCGGCGGACGGGUGAGUAACACGUGGAUAACCUACCUAUAAGACUGGGAUAACUUCGGGAAACCGGAGCUAAUACCGGAUAAUAUAUUGAACCGCAUGGUUCAAUAGUGAAAGACGGUUUUGCUGUCACUUAUAGAUGGAUCCGCGCUGCAUUAGCUAGUUGGUAAGGUAACGGCUUACCAAGGCAACGAUGCGUAGCCGACCUGAGAGGGUGAUCGGCCACACUGGAACUGAGACACGGUCCAGACUCCUACGGGAGGCAGCAGUAGGGAAUCUUCCGCAAUGGGCGAAAGCCUGACGGAGCAACGCCGCGUGAGUGAUGAAGGUCUUCGGAUCGUAAAACUCUGUUAUUAGGGAAGAACAUAUGUGUAAGUAACUGUGUACAUCUUGACGGUACCUAAUCAGAAAGCCACGGCUAACUACGUG
rnacentral:rRNA from 1 species